AAUGAACGCUGACAGAAUGCUUAACACAUGCAAGUCUACCAAGAAUCACUUCGGUGAGGAAUGGUGGCGGACGGGUGAGUAACGCGUAAAUAAUCUGCCCUUUAGACUGGGAUAUCCUUUGGAAACGAAGGUUAAUACCGGAUAUUAUGAGAUGGACGCAUGUUCAACUUAUGAAAGCUAAAUGCACUAGAGGAGGAGUUUGCGUCCCAUUAGCUAGUUGGUGAGGUAAAGGCUCACCAAGGCCACGAUGGGUAGCCGGCCUGAGAGGGUGAACGGCCACAAGGGAACUGAGACACGGUCCUUACUCCUACGGGAGGCAGCAGUGGGGAAUAUUGGACAAUGGACCAAAAGUCUGAUCCAGCAAUUCUGUGUGCACGAUGAAGGUCUUCGGAUUGUAAAGUGCUUUCAGUAGGGAAGAAAAAAAUGACGGUACCUACAGAAGAAGCGACGGCUAAAUAUGUGCCACCCGCCGCCGUAA
rnacentral:rRNA from 1 species